rnacentral:rRNA from 1 species
GUGUCAGCCGCCGCGGUAAGACGGAGGGUGCUAGCGUUGUUCGGAAUCACUGGGCGUAAAGGGCGCGUAGGCGGCCCUGGCAGUCGGCUUGUGAAAGCCCGGGGCUCAACCCCGGAGGUGCGGCCGAAACACCAGGGCUGGAGGCCGGAAGAGGAGGGUGGAAUACCCAGUGUAGAGGUGAAAUUCGUAGAUAUUGGGUGGAACACCGGUGGCGAAAGCGGCUCUCUGGUCCGGACCUGACGCUGAGGCGCGAAAGCGUGGGGAGCAAACAGGAUUAGAUACCCUGGUAGUCCACGCCCUAAACGAUGUGGGCUAGACGUCGGGGGGCUUGCCCCUCGGUGUCGCAGCGAACGCGUUAAGCCCACCGCCUGGGGAGUACGGCCGCAAGGUUAAA